rnacentral:SRP_RNA from 1 species
GCUGGGUACGGUGGUGCAUGCCUGUAGUCCCAGCUACUUGGGAGGCUGAGGCAGGAGGAUUGUUUGUGCUCAGGAUGUUGAGGCUGCAGUGAGCUGUGAUUGUGCCACUGCAGUCCGUCUGGGUAACAGAGUGAGACUCUGUCUCAA